AUGUGAUAAUCAGAGCCUCUGAGAAUGCGUGUCCUCCAGUUUUCAGUGCAUACAACACAGCUUCCUCAUGCGGAUACAGCACAUCUUUAGUAUAAGCUCAAUAUCUGCAGAGGUACAGCACGCAAUGUCUACAACAAAGACCUCUGGCCUCAUCCUAUGAGCUACCAGUACCCACAUGAGUUGUAUUCUAGCCUAGGAUGCUCCUGGGCAGGUAGGGCAUCCCAGGCAGGGGCUAUACACCAACGUGGUCUUGUCUGACUAAAUCACAUGACAGUGAAGCUAUGACCCCAUGCCCUUUACUUUUUCUUAUCAGACCAGUGAUGCGAUGAAGUUUGCUGAGUGUUUAUAUAAACCAAUGAUUUUUAAGGAGAACCUGACAUGCAAACAAUCUCCCUUCAAGUAAACAAUCCUUCUACAUGCCAAAGAAGAUAGCUCAUGAAAGAUGAAGCCAGAAAGCCAUGGAUGUAAUACUGACCCUACCACUCACUAAAUGUACAUUACUUCACUUUUCUUAAACUGAGGUCCAUCCAACUCCUAGAGUUGCUAACUACUUCAAAGACAGCAAGUGCAAAACGGCUGGGACAUAGGUGGACAGUGCAUAGCAGGCACAGUGCAUAGCAGGCAGACAGUGCAUAGCAGGCGGACAGUGCAUAGCAGGCGGACAGUGCAUAGCAGGCGGACAGUGCAUAGCAGGCGGACAGUGCAUAGCAGGCGGACAGUGCAUAGCAGGCGGACAGUGCAUAGCAGGCGGACAGUGCAUAGCAGGCGGACAGUGCUUGCUAUUUCCAUUGUUCUUUCAGGUAAGAAACACGUUGCGGGCUCAGGAGAUGGCUGGGUGGUUAAGAGCACUUGCUGCUCUGCAGAGGAUCCUGGUUUGAUUCCCAGGUACUACAUGAAGCUCACAAUGAUCUGUGGUUCUAGUUCUAGGGAACUGACACCCUCUUCUGACCUCCAUGAACACAAAGUGUACGUGGUCCACAGAUGCACAUGCAAGCAAGCAUUCGUAGACAUAAAAAUCAAUCUUUAUGAAAAAUUAUAUUUAAAAAACACGACUAUUAAAGUGAGGUGCUCCAUUUAAAUAAGCUGUUCAGCUAAGUAGUUUCAUACACAUGCUUCAAUGCAGUGAGUUUUCUGCUCUAAAUUAUUCAGAAACACUCUUAUCCAUACGUGGUUAUUAUACAUGCUCAAGAUACUUUCAAUGGCAUUCAUUUCUUUAAUUUCAAAACUUUGUUAUGAUCUCAAAGUACUAUCUCUAACAUUAGGAACCUGUAUCCUAUUUAUUUAAUCAUGCCCACGAGGCAAUAAUACAGCUUCCCAGAAUUCACCUGUGCGCCCGAGCCCUGCGUGGCAGUGCACAGCUACUUUUCCUUCCUGUAAGGCAAAUGUCAUCACCUUUACCAUGUCUAAGAUGGCAGUGAGGGAGGCCACGCCAUAUCCUUCCACCCGAAGUUGUAGAAAUAAACUAGGGCAGUGAGAGGAAAAAGAAAAACAAAAUUAAUAUGCAUGAAAAAUACUUGCAAGGACAGUUGAAAAAUCAGUUCCAAGACAUGGAGAAUUCACCAACUGAGCAGACAUUAAGAUAAGAGUCGGGGUUGGGGAUUUAGCUAAGUGGUAGAGCGCUUGCCUAGCAAGCGCAAGGCCCUGGGUUCGGUUCCCAGCUCCAGGAAAAAAAAAAAAAAAGAUAAGAGUCAUUUAGGUUUUGACACAGGGAUCGCCCUGGUUGGCCUGAAGCUGUAUGUUCAAUCCAGGAUGGUCCUGAACUCACAGGGAUCCACCUGCCUCUGCUUCUUGAAUUCUGGAAUUAAAGGUUGAGCACAAUGUCCACCUAACAGGAUUUUAGAUUUCUAGGGAGUUUAACUUAACAUUCCUGCAAGCACAUCCCUUAUUAUUGCCCUUUUAACCCACAGCCUGGAAGACAAAGUCCUCUCCGAGUGGGAUAAUCGGGGUGGGGAGAAACUUACUGCCCGCCUCCAUAAAUGCCUCUGGAAGGUAUGUGAAACCACUUUCUUGUUCCAGAGAGUUCCCACAGCUGGCAUGCUCCCCAGGACGCUGCAGGUUGAUUAUUGUUUUUAUGCCAUGACUUCAAAAAGAAAGAGCAAUCGGUUAUAAGGACCUGGAGUUGUGAAAAAUUGGAUUUUAAUAUUAGUAAAACAUUAUUCAUUGCUCUCUAACUUUUAUUUGAAAUCAGCUCCUCACUGCCUGUUUUUCAAGUGAAGCCCUCUUCACUUGCUCCCAUAAUCAUCUAAAGGAAAGAGCGUUGAAUCUAUUUAGCAUGGCUGUGGAUGGUGUAGUACUUACCUGAGGAACUGCUCAAUGAUGUGAUACUUCUCCAGCAGCUCAGAGGAUGGGCGAGCCAUGGCCAGGAUAUUGUCAGUGACCCUGAAGAUGGGCACGGAACAACUGAGAAGCACAGAACUCAGGAGAGUCUACACUACAGGAUUGGCUGUGCUCGCGCUCUCCUGUGCUCGCUGCACAAAUGGUAUUUCAGUGGUUGCGGACGGAAGCAUAGCUACUGCUCGAGAUGAGGCACCAAUCUACGCUUUUAAAAUUCCACCCUCAGAGCCCUGCAUCGUGUACUUUUGUGAAACAAGACGGAGACAGAGAAGUCUAAUUUGAUGCCCCAAUUGCUACUUUAUCUGUAGUCUCACACGGAAAUGGAAAAGGAUGAGGAUUCCACCUGCCUCUCCCACCUUCAGAAAGUACUUACUCUGCCUGAGAGAAUGGCCUGAAAAGUGUUCUAGUUACUACUACUACUGGACCUUUAGAAUUACUGGACCUUUAGAGGAAACCAUGGAAGAUACUGGAAGAAAGCAAGGAGGGACCUGAAGGCAGGAGGCCCUGUGGGCUGUGCCUGUUUCUCUGGUGACUGAGAAGACCUUGGAGCAGGCCCCUGGUAUUCUGGGCAGGAGACAGCUGGUUCACACUAACUGAUAUCCAGGCGGUAGUGAAAGGAACGCACAGCUGGAAAGUCAGCACCACUGGCAAACUCUGCAUGUGGCUCUUCUGUAGACCUAAGAACAUGAGUGCGUGGACCUCUCCUCCCUGGAACACCUACAAGGAUUCCUGCCAUAUGGGUUUGUCUGACAGGAAACAGCCCUUGUUGAAACCCUGAAAUCGGAAGAAAACGCCCAGUCCUUGGAGGGCCAGGCCUCCUGGGAUGCCUGGGAUUUGAACUACUACUGGAACAAUCAAAGAGGAAAAGCCGAGUACACACUUGCUCCUGCUGAACUGGCUCGUUUUCCUUGUGCUGACCGAGAGAAUGUGUACUUUUGUGUUUGUAUGUGAGAUCGCAUUUUUCUCCUGAAGUAUUACUCUAAGCUUGGUUCUGCCUAGCUGCAAGCAGGCAGUGGCCACACGAGCUGCUAGCUCAGACCCUGGCCAGGCAUCUGCCAUCUCCACACUCUAAGGAAGUGGCUAUGGCAGGGGCCUAAGGGCACGGGAUGGUCCUGUGGGUUACAUCUGAUUUUGAAUUCCUGCUUUUUUCUUGUAGCACGUCUUCUUUUUCUAACAGUAGUGUGUUUGGAAGUGGAGAGAGGAGAGAGAUGGGAGCUGAAUGGCGUGUCCUCUGCUUUAUGUUCACAAAGUGAAGAAAGCUGAACGUUCUCUCCACGUGCUUAUGCGGACACUGCAUUGCCAGCGGAGGGAAGCACAGGUUAGCUGUUAGAAGAGUGUGAGGACAUGGCAGCAGUGUGGUGCUUGUGAUCUGCACAUACAUUCAAUAAUGAAGAAGACAGACGCUCAAGGACGAGCAGGCUGUGCAAGUGGUAACGUGCUGGAGAUUCACUCUGUAAAACCUCCUCACCUGCGAAGUGUCCUGGAAAGCACAGUCCUUCAAAAAAUUACUCUCAUACUAAAAUAUUUCCAUGUUAUGUAAGACAUGAAAUGGGUACUGAAGUUGCCUAUUGAUUCUGUCACCUAAAAACGCGGCUUUGGGGUUAACGCUUGUGUGUGGCAUAAGGCACAGUCCCACCACAGUCUUUCUGCAUGUGAAUGGGCCAGUGGUUUGUCAUCCUUUGUUGAACAGACUAGCAUCGCAUGUGGAAUUGUCCUGCUACCUUUGUCAUACACACAAAGAUGAUUUCUGGUUCAUUCUAUUAUACUAUAUUUGUCAUUAUUUUGAUGAAAUAGCAUUGCAUGAAAGUUUUUAGGCUAGGAAAUGAAUCUGUUUUGUUAUUUCUCAUGAUUAUUUUGCCUGUUUGAAGGUCCUUUGAGAUUCUUCCUACAAUCGGCAUGGGCUUUUCUUUCCCAUGCCCAGGGGAUUCUGAUGGGGAUUGUGCUCACUCUGUAGAUCAUAUUACAUCAAAACAGUGCUGUUUUCUGGUUCAUGCAUAGCCAGUCACCGCCUUUAUCUGGCCCCAUGGUUCUCCUUACUAAUCUUCUCCAUCUCCAGUGUAGCACCCCGAGAGUGUUAAAGUCCACCUUGCCCCUCACUCCACUUCAUCUGCAGCUGUGGCAUACCACCUCAGGAAAG
rnacentral:lncRNA from 1 species